rnacentral:rRNA from 1 species
CGGACGGGUGAGUAACGCGUAAGAACUUGCCCUUUAGACUGGGAUAACAGAGGGAAACUUCUGAUAAUACUGGAUAAGUUAGUAUAUCGCAUGAUAUGCAAAUGAAAGCUACGGCACUAAAGGAGAGCUUUGCGUCCUAUUAGCUAGUUGGUAAGGUAAGAGCUUACCAAGGCGAUGAUAGGUAGCCGGCCUGAGAGGGUGGACGGCCACAAGGGGACUGAGAUACGGCCCUUACUCCUACGGGAGGCAGCAGCG